rnacentral:rRNA from 1 species
CAGUAGCCGCGGUAAUACGGAGGGUGCGAGCGUUAAUCGGAAUUACUGGGCGUAAAGCGUACGCAGGCGGUUUGUUAAGUCAGAUGUGAAAUCCCCGAGCUUGACUCGGGAACUGCAUUUGAAACAGGCAGGCUAGAGUCUCGUAGAGGGGGGUAGAAUUCCAGGUGUAGCGGUGAAAUGCGUAGAGAUCUGGAGGAAUACCGGUGGCGAAGGCGGCCCCCUGGACGAAGACUGACGCUCAGGUACGAAAGCGUGGGGAGCAAACAGGAUUAGAUACCCCUGUAGUCCCUGUCUCUUAUAC